AACGUAGGAGGCGAGCGUUAUCCGGAUUUACUGGGCGUAAAGCGCGCGUAGGCGGUUGGUCAAGUCAGAUGUUAAAGCCCCUAGCUCAACUGGGGGAGGUCAUUUGAUACUGUCCGGCUUGAGGGUGAGAGAGGAGAGUGGAAUUCCCGGUGUAGCGGUGGAAUGCGUAGAGAUCGGGAGGAACACCAGUGGCGAAAGCGGCUCUCUGGCUCACCCCUGACGCUGGGUGCGCGAAAGCGUGGGGAGCAAACGGG
rnacentral:rRNA from 1 species